UUUAUGGAGAGUUUGAUCCUGGCUCAGGAUGAACGCUGGCGGCGUGCCUAAUACAUGCAAGUCGAGCGAACGGACGAGAAGCUUGCUUCUCUGAUGUUAGCGGCGGACGGGUGAGUAACACGUGGAUAACCUACCUAUAAGACUGGGAUAACUUCGGGAAACCGGAGCUAAUACCGGAUGAUAUUUUGAACCGCAUGGUUCAAAAGUGAAAGACGGUCUUGCUGUCACUUAUAGAUGGAUCCGCGCUGCAUUAGCUAGUUGGUAAGGUAACGGCUUACCAAGGCAACGAUGCAUAGCCGACCUGAGAGGGUGAUCGGCCACACUGGAACUGAGACACGGUCCAGACUCCUACGGGAGGCAGCAGUAGGGAAUCUUCCGCAAUGGGCGAAAGCCUGACGGAGCAACGCCGCGUGAGUGAUGAAGGUCUUCGGAUCGUAAAACUCUGUUAUUAGGGAAGAACAUAUGUGUAAGUAACUGUGCACAUCUUGACGGUACCUAAUCAGAAAGCCACGGCUAACUACGUGCCAGCAGCCGCGGUAAUACGUAGGUGGCAAGCGUUAUCCGGAAUUAUUGGGCGUAAAGCGCGCGUAGGCGGUUUUUUAA
rnacentral:rRNA from 1 species